rnacentral:rRNA from 1 species
UACGUAGGGGGCAAGCGUUAUCCGGAUUUACUGGGUGUAAAGGGAGCGUAGACGGCGAGGCAAGUCUGAAGUGAAAACCCGAGGCUUAACCACGGGACUGCUUUGGAAACUGUCAUGCUAGAGUGCAGGAGGGGUGAGUGGAAUUCCUAGUGUAGCGGUGAAAUGCAUAGAUAUUAGGAGGAACACCGGUGGCGAAGGCGGCUCACUGGACUGUAACUGACGUUGAGGCUCGAAAGCGUGGGGAG